GGCCCAUCAAAGGUCACUCUCCAGACCUCCAUGGCUUCCUUCACAGUUGAGGUGACUACUUUCUUCACACAAAUCCAUCUGUAUUAGUACAUUUUUCAUGCUCUACUGUUAUAUUUUUUUUCCUAAUUGAUGAAACAAAAAUUCAUGAAAAUAUGGUAGAUGUACUACGACUAUGCACCCAAGACUUGCAAGAACUUCAUAGAGUUGGCUCGCAGAGGCUAUUACGAUAACGUCAAAUUCCACAGAAUCAUUAAGAUCUCUUUGUUUGUAUAGCUAAUCGCUAUUCAUAUUUGUAUAUGUAAACAUUUCUAAUUUUGAACUGAUAAUUUUUAUGUGAUAUUGGAGUUCAGGAUUUUAUAUUGCAAGGUGGGGAUCCAACUAGGAUUGGCAGGGGUGGCAAAUCAAUUUAUGGGUAUUUUUUUUAAUAAAAUGUAUUUUUUAAUUUUAGAGUGUGCCUUGCAAUUGGUUAUUUUGAAAUUAAUGUUUUCUUUUGGUUCCAAAUACUUCUCAUUUAUGUAGGAUUUUUAUAGAUCACCCUUUUAUGGUGUGGUGAUGGUGGUGCAGUGAAUCUAGGUAGGACGACGGUGUUGGUGAUGGUAGCGACGGUGCUUACAUUGGCAGGGGUGAUUGUGGUUGUGGUGUUUUGGAGAUGAAUGGCUGGUGACGGUGUUGAUGGCGUGGUUGAAUUGUUGGUGGUGUAGGUGCUAGCGCGAUGUUGCUACAAUGAUGGUAAGUCGGUGCUUGGUUUCAAUGGUGUUGGUAGUAUUUGUGUCCAAUUAUAUAUGUUGUUCGGUUGGUGCCAUCAUGGUGGCAAUUUUGGUGGUGUGUGUUGGUUUGUUUUUGUCGGGAGGGGAUGGCAGCGGCGGCGACGAUUGUGAUGGUGUUGUGGCCGGGAUGGUGUUGUGGCCGGGAUAGUGUUUGUGACCAGGUAUUAUGGUGGAUCGGGAUUGGGUGUUUGGCGUCUGUGACCAACUAUUUGGUCCUCUGUGACUGUAUUAAUCCUUGACUUUAAGAUUCUAUCAUUUUGUAACUAAAAAAGUAAUCUGUGAAUAUCAAAUUUAAAAAUAUGUGACAUGUGACUUAUAAUUUUUUUAAUUUGUGACCAUUUGUAACCUAUAAUUUUUUUUAUCUGUGAAUUCGAAAUAAUCUGUGACGUAUCAAAAUUUUGAUUUCUGAGCUCGAAAAAAUCUGUGACAAUUAAUUUAAUGAUAUGUGACCAGCAAAUAAAUAUGUGACUUUAUUAUCAUUAUUUAAUAAAUAUUUUUAAUUAAUUAGUUAAAACCAGAUUUUUGCAUUAAUGAAACUUGUAACCUGAAUUUUGAAUUAUGCAUAGUUAAAAACAUGAUUUGUGAACUCUUCCCUUUUUUCUUUCUGCUUGUUACUUGUUGUCUUCAUCUUCUCCUGUCUGUUUGGAGAUGGCGUUCCAGGUUCAGAAACGUCCUGUAGAGAAGAAACUGAGACUUCAACAUCUCCUCCUCUUCUUUGGUUGUGCCUCUAUGUUGCAGUCCCAGACCUUCAAGAUUUCUUUUAAUGGCUGCCUUCGGAUUAAUCAGUAACGCCACAUCUUUCGGAAUUGCCUCCAGUGAUUAAGUACUCCACUGCUCUUUCCAGUCCAGGUUAGCAUUGAAGUUCCGUUUUCAAUUCCUUCAGCUUCUUCUCUAUUGCUUCUACUCUGACUUCUAUCUUCUUCUCGGCCAUUAGAUCGAAUGUGCUCUGAUACCACUUUGAUAUAACUUCGCAAGAAGAAAAUAAGAAUAGAGAAUAUCGAGAAUAUUGAUUGUAUUGCAUAAGAACAAUUACAAUAGAUGAACUUAUAAAACUUGGUCACACUCAAUAUUUGCCUACUCUACUGAGCCUCCCUCCCCUCUUAUUUGUAGCAAUUAUUCCCUAACUACUUUUCCCCCCAUUUGCCAUGUAAUUGCUGUUAUUCCCCCUUCUUCUAGUUGCUUCUCACUCCUUGUUUCAUCUAGAAUGAGCGAGGUGGAGGGAGCCUAUUUCUUGUUUGGUGUGCAACGAGGGUGUCUUGGUCACUCACCAGACACCAUAAAUGCCUGGCAUGUAGUGUUUGAUUGGAAGUAUCAACAAUGACGGACGUAGACAUUUUAAAUUAGGGGCAACAAUCAAACUUGCAAAAAAGUUGUGGCCAAUUUGCCAACCAUAGGCUCGAAUGUAGUUACUCCACAUUAAUGUAUUGAAAUUCUCAAUUAUCUUUUUUUAAAUCUAUCAUUCUCAUGGCUUGACAAUUGUGGCAAUUCAGACUCAUAUUUUAUGCUACUGUAAAUUAUGUAUUUCUGGAUUAAUUCCUAGUGAAAACAAAUAUAAUAGCUCGUGGAU
rnacentral:lncRNA from 1 species